CAAGUCCAAAUUUUCUAUUUUUUCUGUUUUAUAAUUUAUUCCACUUUAUUGAUAAUCUCUAUUUGUUGAGAUAUUUUCAUAAUACUGUCCUUUAAUUUUUUGACAGUGCUUCCUUUGAUUCUUUGAACAUAUUUACAGCAGGUACUUUGUCUUCUUAGUCCAGCAUUUGGUCUCUUUCAAAGGCAGUCUCUAUUGCUUGCUUUUUUCCUUUUUUGGGUUACAUGUUUCUAUUUCUUUGCAUAUCUCAUAAUUGUUGAAACCUGGAUAUUUUAAAUAAUAUAUUGUAGCAAAUUUGGGUGCUAAUCUAACCCUCUUCCAGGAUAUGUUGUUGUUUUCUUGAUUAAUGAUUUAUUUGUUUAGUAACUUGGGUGAAUUGUACCUAAGCAGUUUCCAGUGCACUCACUCUGGUAUUUUUCAUUUUUUAAUUCCUCAAUCCUGGAUGCUUUGCUUUUGCCCAUGGUUCAACCUAUCCACUUGUUGGCCAAAAUGUUUGCCAAAGCUUCCUUAGCUAGCUAGAAUUUUACUUUUUUGCCAUUAAAUGUGUGUGCACUUGUAGGCUUCUUCACAGUUCUAAAAGUUUAUGACUUUUCCCCAUGUUAAGCCAUGACUAUUACCUUGGAGUCUCCCUUUGUGAUCAUUCCUGAGAGGGCGUUGUGUUGGGUAAGUGUACCAUUGUCAAGAAAAAGAGGGUUGAGUGUAAUUUCAUUUUUGAUCUUGACUUUCUAAAAAUCAUCUCCAGGUCAAAAUAGUUUAUUGUUCAGGCAGUGUUUGGUCAGAAUUUGUAAUAAAGCCCUUUGUGGUGGUAAGGCUUAUAUCCUUUGUUGAUGGUACUGUGUAUAACUUGAAAGAUUUAUAAAAGAUUUUCUUAAGUACUGCUCUAAUUGCUCCUGAGUGGGUACUACCUAAUACCUGCACACCGACUUUCUAACCUGCAAGACUGAGUGUGAUUCUUGAAGUAUGUUUCAGAUUAUAUCCCUCCCAAGUACUCUCUGAUAAAUUUCUAGCUGAUCUAUCAUUUCUCUUAUUGUUCCAAGUAUCAUGGAGCUACCAGACGCUCUGACUUAAUUAUUGUAUACCAAGAUCUCCACUGUUUUAACGAUGCUUUGGUCACAAAUUUUUCACAUUCUAUACCAAAUAAAUCAGUUCCUUCAGACAAAGCUCCAGAGCUCUUCAUCCUUAAAGCCUAGCUCUACCCCUAGGCUGAAUUUUUAUGCCGCUUCACAGGAGCUGGGAACAGAGACACCGAACUACUUAUUUUAGAUUGAUAAAUAUGCUUUGCUAGUGGAAACAUAAGAGAAUAUCUCCUGGUCUUGGCUUGCCCCUUCUGGCAUGAAUAGCCAGCCUACAAUCAAGGUAAGGCUACAGCAUUUGGAAUCCCAGUAUAUUUGGCUUGCCAUACCUAGGGUAGAACUUCUACCAUAUGUAUUAGGACUGUGUGGAAGAAAGGACCUCCAGUGCUCUCAGGAGCGCUGUCCAGAAUAGAGCUUCUUCAGCCUGGAGCUGAGAAAAAUGAGAAAUGCCAACAACCUCUCCUGCGUUGAAAACAUAGCCCUGAGAUGGGCUCUGAGGGUAAAGGAAGCUCCUGAUUUGUAGUCAUCGCCCCUCUCAUAGCCAGUUUCUAUUGCAUGCUUUUUCAGCAGUGUAGUUUCACAUUCCUGUUUCUUUAUAUUUCUCUUAAUGUCUUUUUGAAAACUGAAAAUUUUAUAUAAUGUAUCAUAGCAACUCUAGAUUCUGAUUUCCCUCCCUCUGGGGCUUAUCUUUAUAGCUGUUUUUGUUUUUGUUGUUUUCUGUUCACCUGUUCAUUCAUUUAGUGACUUACCUGGACUAAUUCUGUUGAUUCCGUUUCUCCCACUGUGAGUCUCUGAUGUCAUUGCUCAGUUUUUCUUUGUAUUUAACUUUAGAUUGGCUUCUUAGGGAGCACCCCUGGUUUAGCAUCUCAUAGUGGUUAGUCACUGGUUGUUCAGAGAUAAUUCUUAAACACAUUGAACCAGUCAAGUUUUUCACCUUUGCUGUCAGAUCUGUUUGUGACUUGGGGAAUUAUUUCAAAGUUCAAGGAGUUUACAAGUCCACUCUGUAUUCAUCUAGGAACUAGUAGCUUGCAAAGGUCCUUUCCAGUAUCUCUGGAGCAGAAACAGCCUUGCACAUUGGCACAGCCUUCUAGAUGACCAGAGCAGUAAUACUUGCCCUGGCUCGGGGUCAUACUUCCACAUCACAGAAACUGAAGGAUGUGUUGGAGCAUCUCCUUGAAAAACAUGCUACAGACUUUUGCUGUUCUUACUGACAUUCAACAGCUUCAUUAUUGUCUGUUAAAAGAAGACUUACUAAGCUCCUCACACAGCCAUUCUGGAUGUCCUUAUCCCCAGGUAUAUAUUUGUUAUGAAUAUUUUAUAAUACCAUUUGACACACCCAAGAAACUUCAACAUGUUAACAGUGUAUAUGUGUUAUUUUUUUAUUUUAAAAAUACAUAUUUAAUAUUUUUGCUGACCAAUUAAGUUCAUUGAAACAACAUUGAUAAUUGUCGUGGUAGUUUCCAGGACAGAUACACAUAUUGAUAACUAAUUUUUAGCUUUUAAGGAGCUUAACACCUACUAGGAGUUAUAACUAUUAAUAGAUUUGAUAUAGUAAUUUCUCAAGAGAAGAGUAAAUAUAUCACUAUUAAAGCACAAACGAAGAAAUCAAAAGGCGAGACAUAAUAUUUGCACUGGAAUAUGAGGAGUUUGAACUCAGGUUCAUUAAGAGUUCUGGUUAAAUGAGGUAAUCUGAAUCAUUACCUAGAUCCUAAGAUACUAAUAAUAUGGGUUUAUUUUAUUUAGUUCUGUUUUGUAUUCAAAGAGACAUUCAAGUGAAGUUGCUUUGAAAUGAAAGUCCCAUAGAAAUACAAAGUGUCAUUUUCCUAGAAAGUACUAAAAGAAUCUAUAUGAUGUAAGCAUAACUUCAUUGGAAUUGUAUACAUAAUAGUUGAAAAACUCAAGACUACUCUUUCUCCUAUAACAAAAUCCUUUACUCCAGUCAUUUUAAAGUUCAUAUUCCACAAAUUCAUGUGUCCUUGAAAUUUUAUUUUACAGGCCUUGGCAAAAAUCAUCAUUUCUAAUUUGUUUUGCCAAUUUUGUCAUUGCUUACCCUACAAAAAACAACUUAGACUUAGCCUACUUUUGGCUAAGAUAAUUUUUAAAAUAAUUUUGUCUUAUUUGUUUUCUCUGUGUUACAGUAAUCAUAUCAAAUAUAUGGCUUUGAUAUACUACCAUUACCACUUUCAGAGUACAGGCUGUGGGUAAAGGAAGACUUUGAUUAUAAUCAUAGGCUGUAAAAAUAAAAGAUACACUGUGACAAAACAAAGGUCAGUAUAUAUCAGUUUUAAGAUAGAACAAGUUUCAUACUUUUUUUUCUGAAACCACUGGAAGCAAGCUCUGUUUUUGUUUUUACCACUUUUAAAUAAAUGAAGAUAUAAUUCAUGUAUAACACCAUGUAAGUUUAAGGUGUACAACAUGUUGAUUUGAUACAUUUAUAUAUUGCAAUAUAAUUACCACUAUAGCCUCAGCUAACACCUCCGUUACAUAACAUAAUUAUUAUUUCUUUUUCUGCGGUAAGAACAUUUAAGAUCUAGUCUCUUAGCAACUUUGAAGUAUAUAAUACCAUACUGUUAGCUACAAUCACAAUGCUAUGCAUUAGAUCUCCAAACAUUUACUUUCCAGUUUUGUUUGUACACUUUGACCAACAUCUCCUCAAUUUCACCGUCUGCCAGCUCCUAGUAACUACCAUUUUACUCUCCAUUUCUAGAAGUUCAUUUUUUUAGAUUCCACAUACGAUAUCACACAGUAUUUGUUUUCCUAUCUGACAUAUCUCAGCAUAAUGCCCUUAAGGCCCAUCCAUUUUUUCC